rnacentral:rRNA from 1 species
UGUCCUACGGGGCGCAGCAGUGGGGAAUAUUGCGCAAUGGGCGAAAGCCUGACGCAGCGACGCCGCGUGAGGGAUGAAGUAUUUCGGUAUGUAAAGCUCUAUCAGCAGGGAAGAAAAUGACGGUACCUGACUAAGAAGCCCCGGCUAACUACGUGCCAGCAGCCGCGGUAAUACGUAGGGGGCAAGCGUUAUCCGGAUUUACUGGGUGUAAAGGGAGCGUAGACGGCGAUGCAAGCCAGAUGUGAAAGCCCGGGGCUCAACCCCGGGACUGCAUUUGGAACUGUAUAGC